AACAGGCCGAGUUGUAAUUUGUAGAUGGCUACACUGCAUAAUAGUAGAUGCUCAAGUUCUUUGGAAAAAGACAUCAUGGAGGGUGACAAUCCCGUGAGGCAUGUUACUAGGAGCAUAUAGUGGGCUUUCUAAGAGUCGAGUUGUUUGGGAAUGCAGCUCAAAGUGCGUGGUGAAUACCAUGUAAAGCUAAAUAUGGACGAGAGACCGAUAGCGAACAAGUACUGUGAAGGAAAGAUGAAAAGCACUCCGAAAGGAGAGUGAAAUAGUACGUGAAAUUGUUAAAGUGGAAGGGCUUGAGAUCAGAAUUGGUAGUUUGGGUUCCACGUCCUCUUGGGGGCGUGUACUCCCUUUCCACCGGGCCAGCGGGAGUUUCGUCUCUUGGGUAAAAGCAGUGGAAUGUAGCAGCUUGUCUGUAUUAUAGCCUCUGUUCAUACAAGACGUCGAGACUUGAUUUGUUGG
rnacentral:rRNA from 1 species